UUGUGUGUUCAAGUUUUUAAGGGCAUACGGUGGAUGCCUUGGCAUCAGGAGCCGAUGAAGGACGUGGGAGCCUGCGAUAUGCCUCGGGGAGUCGGCAACCAGACUUUGAUCCGGGGAUUUCCGAAUGGGGAAACCUGGCACUCGUCAUGGGGUGUCGCCGCCUGCUGAAUGUAUAGGCAGGUUGGUGGGAACGCGGGGAAGUGAAACAUCUCAGUACCCGCAGGAAGAGAAAACAAUAGUGAUUCCGUGAGUAGUGGUGAGCGAAAGCGGAUUAGCCUAAACCGUGCGCGUGUGAUAGCCGGCAGGCGUUGCGUGUGCGGGGUUGUGGGACC
rnacentral:rRNA from 1 species